GGCCUGGUGGUCUAGUAGUAUGAUUCCUUCUUAGGGCUCCGCGCAAUUUGGAGGAGGUCCCGGGUUCAAUUCCCGGCCAGGCCC